UCGAUGUAGCAAUGUGGCUGGAGACUGCCCACAUCUGGCGGCAUUGCUUCUGCAUCCUUGGCUAUGCAAGUUGUGUUCAGGGUGAGCGACCUGUAUGCCUGUCUAAACAAUCCGCUUGGAACAUAAGAAGGCAUUAGUACGCCUGCAAGAGGGCUCGGGGACAGGGGAUAGACAGGCUGGCAGGGCCAGCGCAGGGGAGUCCCGCCACAUUCCACCUGCCAGCACGGUUUCAAGAGUUGCCUGCAUCCACCUGGACUCAAAUUCAGCAUACAUCUAAAUGUGUCUGCAGCCUAUGCGGACCGCUCCCACCAAGCAAUACUUAGCAUACAAGCUCAGCCACGAAGACUAUAUAACUUCUUUGCCGCUCACGCCUCGUGGCUAGCUUUCUGUACCUGUUUACUUAUUGUAAAUAAUAGCAUCAGUUUAUGCUGGUGAAUGACUGAGCUGUCGCGAUGACAGCUUGUGAAGCGGCAAUUUGCAACGGCAACGACGCGUGUACAUUUUCCUUGAUAAUGACGGGCAUCGCACCCAGAAGGGCCCUUUUGCGUGCCCUGUAAACCCAGCACACCUACCCCCCCCCCUUCGCUGGUGGAGCGGGUCCCUGCGCACCCUCCCCUGCCUACGAUCCUGUGUGGCCGCACAAAAUAUACAUGUGGGCAGCACAUCAUCAGCCACGUGUUCAUGGCCAAUUCGCGGCGCUGCUGCACAAGAGAGUGGCAGGUAGGGCAACAUACUUUGUGCUCAGGGGUAGGUGCUGCAUGCAAUACUUCCCUGCAUUCCGAAAAGGGUAGAGGAGAGCUGCUGGAGGCCUGGGUUGUAGGCCUGUAGCUAGCAGGCAGUGGACGAGGGCGAGGUCAGCGUAGACGGGGUUAAAAAAUAGAUAAACCUUCAUCCUGGGACAGCUCCAACUAACGCCCAACUAACGCCCAAAUAACUCGUGUACGGCACCCCCACCCCCCUCAGCCGUACAGGAGCUGCGGUUGGGUGUCGGUAGCUGCCGCGGCUGGGAGCUGGUAGUUGUACGGUGGGCCGGCUGGGAAGCUGCCGAGCCUGGGAGCCUGGGACGCACACGGGUCGUUGGCAUGGGUCGGGUAGCUGUACGGCUGGGAGCUGGAAGUUGCGCGGGAGACCGGCUGCAAAGCGACAUGAGUGCAUAGGUGUACGGCGGAGGUCAGGGGAUGGUGGCUGGCGGUUGGCGUGGCGCACGAGUGGGAGCUGGCAGUUGCAUGUGGUGCCGGCUGGGAAGCUGCGUGUGAGCUGCGUGUAAACUCAGAGGGGAUGCAUGGGGCUGCGCCUUUUCAUGAGCUGCAUCUGGGCUGCACACGGGAUUCACACGGACUGCACUGUAACUGGCGCGGCGGGGCGGCGCCAGCCGUCCCCGCCACGCUGGGAAGUGGCGUGUGGGAUGUGAUGGGAUGUGAUCCAGCCAGGUGAGGACAUGGCCGCGUGCGGUGCACUGCGUGCACCAGUGCGGCGCGUCAGUCUGCCUACCUACGAUCGAGCUGCAUCAGAGCUCACACGCGGCUGCGGCUGACCGGCGCGGCGGGGGGCGGCGCCGCGCUGUGGGGUGAAAGGAGCGAGGCACAGAAACUCAAGGGAAACUCAGUCAAAACUCGGAGGAAACUCGGAGGAAACUCGGCUGAAACUCCGAAGUCGAACAAUGGAGGCUGUUCUUAGUCUUUUUGCUCAUGUGAGUCAUUAGCGACUAGCGUCAGUUCUUCAUCGCCUUGCGAAGCGCGCGGUAAGCGUCGGAGCUCAGGUCCUCUUGCAGCUGAGCCGCGGGCAGCCAUUCAGCCUUGGGAAAUCUUGAAGUCUCACCAAAAAAUGCAGCUUGCCCUUUACAAGUUUGCUGUCCUCGAAGCGCGACACUUCGAAGUGUGUUUCGCCACGUACGUGCUCGCGCCUGCCCAAGGGCUGCCACGCUUGCCCGCAGGCUUGUUUGCAGGCGCAGCUGGUGGUGCCUCUUGAGCUUCAAUAGCGCGUGUAGCCUGCUGCUGAGUUGUGGCAAGAGCACGCACAACACGCCGCACCUGGCGCUGCUCCUGUGCUGCCUCUGCCUGGCGCUUCACCCCGCCUGCUACCCUGCAGUCACUUCAUUAACGAACAGCAUUUCCGAUGGGCUAUGCAGGCGUCGCUUGCCCUCCACAGCGAAACUAUAGCCCUUCUGCCGAGUCACGUUGUAAAAAUGUCCUGUGAAUAGGUGGCUAUCUCCUUGUCGAACAGCCCCAUGCCCUCCAACCCCUACCGCUACGCAGUACCCCGGCUUGCCCCCUCCCCCUGUCGCAUUGCGCACCAUUGCAGGCCACGCAUGACGGGAACUUAACCCCCGAUCCCAGCAUUUCAUCGGCUAUGGUCACGUUCCCAACGUCCAGUUCCGCGCAGUCGCAGUUGUGCGAACGGGAUGGGAGGGAGAUGCGGGGCUGGUAUCAGGGGAGGGAUUUGCGCGGGGAGGCGCCGGUGAACACAGUUGCAUUUGCGGAAGGCGAGAGAGCGCGGGCGGGGCGGGGGCGAGUCGGGGGCAGGGGGCCCGAGACACGAUUUCGACAAAUCGUCACCACGAUAGUAUGCACCGUUGAUAUCACAAAACUCAGCGCUGCUUAUGCAUUGCGAUGAAGCACAUUGCCUUUCUGCUACCGCCGAUCAGAGAGAUCGCAUGCGCUUUGCUGUUUGCGCUCGCACAUAUCCAAGUCUAUAUGUUUGCCUUGAAGAAUAUCGUCUACCGCAAUUCCCGGAAAUGCAAAGCCAAUCGCGCUAUCGAGCGCCGGGAUCCUCCAACGCCUCUGAUCUCUUCGCCUCUAGUCUUACGCCUUCCUUGUGUUUUUGCAAAGUUAUGCGUUGCUACGGACACAUUGAAAGGCGUAUUAUUUGCACAAGAACUCUAGUUAGCGAAUAGAGGUUACAUGUGGGAUGACAGCCGCGGGCAAGCCAGGGCUUCAUAAACGCACGAGACACGUACGCACACUCGAGGAGAGAACCUCGAAUGACCCCCAUGCUCCUCGCCUCACUACAGGAGGGGAGGAACCCCGAGCAAGGCUCACCGCAAACGCUAGCGCUGCUCACCUAAGCCGCGGGUCGGCGUCAGACUGACUGCCACUUUGCAAAGUGCAACUCCUACCCCAAAACACCAGCACCAACAGGGCAGGGCCCUCACACUGUUGGGUGCAGCCCGAAGCUGCAUCCUGUAGACGGCCUAGGGCCGUGCAAGUUCGCUGAACCACGAGGAUCAGCCGGUCCGACCCACCAGACAGCACAAGCCACAGCGCCCGCAACCUAGCGCAGGCGGUGCAGGCACGCCCACCGCCCAACCAAGUCCACACAGCCUCGCAACACCCUAGCACAGCAGACAGCGCCAGCCAGCCUUCGCGUAGUCGGCCUGCGCCAGCCAGCCUUCGCUGGACUGCCUUCGCCAGACUGCAUUCGCCAAGCAGGUCUCUCCACUGGCCACACCACGAGGUGUGUAGAUGCGCCCACAGCUCCAGCCGCCGCCGCCCGGAAGACGCCGGUCCUGGCUCCCGCCGCAGCGUGCCCCUGUUCACGCGCGGCGAGCCCGGCGCCACGUCAGGCCGCAGCAGCAGCCCACAGCAAGAGUCGCCAGCAGCUCCAAUCGGCCCUCCGUUACCGAAAGAGCCGCUCAGCGCCACGCCACUGCGAGCCCGGCAGCAGCGAGCGCCCCGCCAGAAGCAUCGCGAAGCCAUGAAGACGAGGUCGACCGGCGAGCAGGCGCGCCACCAACGCUAGGUCGCGAAGGCUCCACGGUGUGAAGUCAUGAUGUUCGGCAAAGAUUGCCAGAGCGGGGGCCGCUCGGCAGGACGGCGACGAUGAUGUCGUCGACUGAGUGGCGCGCCGCAGCCAGAGCAGUACUGACGCACUACAGCUGACCUAAGCAACGCCAGGGACGCCACGAAGGCGCCACAGGGGAUUGGCGCGGCCACGAAGGCCGGCCAGGAACUACGACCGACAAGGAGGGUCAGGGCGCCGAGGCGCCCUAACGCAACCAAGCGGAGUAGAACACGUAUUUAGCCACUCAUCUAGUUAGCCCAGCUAUCUACAUAUGGGGUCGAAAGUGUGGCGCAAUUCUGUGCGUCGUCGCGCACAGCGCGAUUCAGGCGGAGUUGAUUAGCAUUAACGACUGAUCACAGCUUCAUGUAUGCCUGAUCUUAUUUCCAGGGCGCGAGAGCGAGUGCAGCGCAUGAACGAAGCCGAUAACCGCGCUUCCUUCGCCGGCGCGAAAAUGCGCGUAGCAAUAAGUUACGUUGCAAGUUACUACCGACACAGAUAAGCGCAUUAGAAAGGGCAUUCGCGAGGAAAUGGGAAGGCGCGCUCGCCGAUCGGCUAAGACGAAAGCAAUUGCAAGCGCACGAGGAUCUGUAUUCCAUGAUAGAAUCGGUGCGCAAAGCCAUGCUCAAUUGCGAAUGCCAUGAACUUUGAGCGACCUUUUCGCGAAGUGGCAGCUCGGCGACGCCCCGCCCCCCUCAUCCGUCCUCAGCCCCCCGUCCCCUCGCUCCUCACGACCCCCCGCCCCCUCGCUCCUCACGACCCUGCGGGCGGAGGGACACCCUCCCCCCUGCACCUUCUCCCUCGGCAGCCCACCACCCCUCUCUUUAGCUGAUAGAGGUUACAUGUGGGACGACAGCCGUGGACUAGCCAGGGCCCCAAAAACGUACGAGACACGCACGCUCACCCGAGGAGAGAUCCCCGAAUGACCCCCAUGCUCCUCGCCUCCGGAGAGGGGAGGAACCCCAGGCCCGGCUCACCGCAAACGCUAGCGUUGCUCACCUAAGCCGUGGGUCGGCGUCAUAAGACUACCUCUUAUUGCGAGUCCCUAAGCUGACAAGCUAGGGUGAGGCCGGUGGCGAGUCCGCUGUUGGCCCUACCAAGAUAACCCCUCCAACAUCAUCUGACGCUAGGAAUGGGUGCUGGUUCGGGACAAGGUCCCAGCGGCGCGGAGGCCGACGCAGACUCACAAACGCAGCUAGCCGUGACCAGAAGUCCGCAAUCACCUCCACACCUAUCCUUCGCACAACAGCAACCUCCGCAGUCCGGUCUGCAGCAUCACGGCAAGCGUAAAGGCGCUGUCGGCCGUAUUCCAGGGCCGCCACAGCAGCCAAGCACACGAUGUCCCACACCGCCUGCGAUAGCCCUGGUGGCGCCUGUACUAACCACAACUGGUUCCGUGUGAUGUCCACAUUCGCAUGCUCCCGCAUCACAUCACGCAGAGCCUCCGCCACCACACAGUCCCAGAAGUGAUGAACCCUAGCCCCAGCAGUCAUCUGAGUCCCACACGGGCAUUUCUCCACGCGUCCAUCUGCGGCCCACGCCGCAAGCAUCCCAAAGCCCGUGAACCCAUUGACUGCCAGACGCCAGAGCGGUUCCUUGUGUCGCGGCUCCCACACCAAAGCCCACAGCCGCGCCAGGGCCGCCCGCAGCGCAUGAAUCGCUUCCGCUGGCGGCGCGGCGCCGCUGUAGGCCUCUUGGAUGAAGGCCAAGUGACGCACGCGGAGUGCGUCGUACGCAGGCGCAAGUUGAAGCUGGGUUGCCUGCUUCACCGUAAGGGUCAGCAAGGGCACGUCAGCCGCGCCAUGCCGCCACCCCAGGCUCUGCGCAAGCAGCAGCCAUACCUGGGGGGCAGGAGGCGCGGAGGCCGCGCCGCCAGGCGCAUGCAAUGUGGCCGACGCCGCCACCCUCCACGCCGCCGGUACACGGGCCAGCAGCGCGGAGAAUUGGGCAGCAGCAUCCGGGCCGGACUGCAGCUCCGGCGGCACGCGCGCCAUAUCCGCAAUGCGCAGGAUGGGGCGCAGGACGGACCGCUUGUACUGCAUAGUGCAGCGACGCGCGAGGCGCGGCCCCAGCGCACCAGUCGGCUUGGAAGCCACCAGCUGGCGCACCGCGGCCAGCGCCUCCCAGCACCGCACUGCCGUGCCGAGCGUGAGCAGACCCGGCAGCGCCAUGAGAGCCGGGAAGUCACGUUCCAAGCCACCCGCCUGAAGCCCCGCCGCACACGGCAAGACAGGAUUGCCCCAGAGCGGAAGUGCAAAGCACCAGGGCCCGGGCACCAGCACAGCCGGGCGUAGGAUGGUGACCGGAGGCAGGUAGCUGAGGGCACCCAGGAGGCGCACGAGGGCCGGGCAGGUUGCCGCCACCGGCUGGCCGAAGAUUGCACAGCCAUCGGCAGCGGGUCCGACACCGCCGGCCGCCCGCUGCAUCGUCAGGACGCAGAGGGGGUGGGCGGCCGUGUGUAGCUGCUGCACCAGGGCGGUGGCGGCGGCUGUCCACGGCGGUACGUAGGUGCCGGCCG
rnacentral:lncRNA from 1 species